UCAAAUACAACAGCAUGUAAAAAGGCUUUAGUAUUUUCAGUCCUAUUAGUCUACAUGAUUAUUUAACAGAAUAAAUUGACACAGAAAAAUGAAAUUUACCUCUCCGUAGAUACGCCACUGCUAAUAUGGAAAGAUAUAUUAGAAACUUUAUUUAACUUUAUUUAAUAGCUAAAUGAUAUAUGGAAAAAUAUUAGAAACUUUGCUUAAUAGCAAAGCAAUUAGAAGGUAAUUUAAAAAAUACGUCACACUAAUUGAUGGAGAAAAUACAGUAAUUAAAGACCCAUCAAUAUAAUUACUGGAUUUUGAUAUAAAAACGAGAAAAGUAGUGAAAAUAUUGUAUUCGAGAUUUCGAGGCAGUUAAGUACAUUUGGUAUAUUGUGAACAUAGCAGUAAGGUGAGUACUAUUUUUACUUUAUUCUGAUUUUUUAUUUAUAUUCGUACCUUAUAUGCCAUUUUUUCUGUUUUAUUUUUCUAGUAUUUCUAGAUAUUUUUUGCUUCUUAUAUAUGAGAGUUUGCUUCUUUGUUCCUGAAGCUGAACUGAUUUUCACGUAUCCGUAUAUCAAUUGGUCAUAUGUGAUAGUUGUAUUGCUCUUGGUACAUUGUUGUCUCUUUUUUGUAAAUACACUGCUUCUCCAUUCAUCUGGCUUUGUCCAACUUCCAUAAUUCUACUAAAUAAACCUAUAUAAAAAGCAUGGAAAACGAGUUGCAGCAAUUCAUAUCUCUCGCUCUUUCUUACAAUGUGUCAGAGGCAUUCGAUUUUAUUGUGGUUACCAGCUCUUUUUCUUUUUUAAUUCUUAAUAAAAUGAUCUAAUUAGUUACGUGAUGGGAAUAAGAUAUAUACAAAAAUAUGAAAAAAAUGUUUUAUUUCUUUGGAAUAAAAUAAAAAAGCCAAGUUGGUUGACUGGUUUAAAGCUUUGCAGUGCAGGAGAUUUGAACCUAUGGUCUAACACUUACUUAUUUUCAAUGCAAUUUAACAAAGCCUUAAAUCACUCAACCAACGUGGCUUUGGAACUUUGCUCUAAAAAAUAACGAUGAUAUUCACAUGUUACGACAUUCAUAUUGAUAAUAAAAAGAAAUAAAUAUUUUCAAAUAAUAUUUUAUUCAAAAUACUGUUAUUUAGAGUGUGAGCUUUGGUACACGACACCCAUAUAAAAAGCGUGGCUGUCCCCUCCUUCCUUCUUUCAGCCAACGUCUCCAGUCCUUUCUGUGCUGACAUUCUCCAUCUCGUCUUUUCUUUUAGAUAUAUAUUUUUGUAUUUUUGUUUCUGUUCUGACAACAGCAUUUCCUGUCUUUAUUUUUUAAGUGCUUGAAUUACUUCGGAGGGAAUGAAGUUGCAUGAAGUCUUGCAUUGCAGAGUCAUAAUUUCUCGAUUUUUUUAUUUAUACAUAUUCACAAUAUAUUUUAGUCUGAUUUUAGCUUAUAUUUGUAACUUUGGAUAUACGUAAUUUUUUAGUCGAAUUCUAUUUAUCUUUGAACCUUAAUCUAUCCAAAAUUUCGAUAAAUCCUCAGCCCUAUUUUUUCAAAUUAUUUUAAUUAAACUAAAAGACUUUUGUUUAAAAAAUUUGCAAUAUUCUUUCUAUUAGAGUCCUUCCUCUAUCUAUCAUAGGAUUUUUACAGCUGUCACCGCCUUCCUUCUUUCAGCCAACGUCUCCAGUCCUUUCUGUGCUGACAUUCUCCAUCUCGUCUUUUCUUUUAGAUAUAUAUUUUUGUCUUUUUGUUUCUGUUCUGACUCAACAGCAUUUCCUGUCUUUAUUUUUGAAGUGCUUGAACCACUUCGGAGGGAAUGAAGUUGUAUAUAGCAAAAAAUAAAAGUCGUCUGUUGUUUUGUUUCUGUUGUAUCUAGAGCCUUCUAGAGUUGCAGUAGAUUAAAAUCCUAUAUUUUAGUUUUUAGUAUUUCUCUUAGAACUUUUUUGUUCUUUUUCUUCUGUUUUGUCCAGUGCCCAAGAGCGUUGCAGCAGAUUAGAAUUUUUAGUAUUUUAUUCAUACAUAUUAGUUAUAUCUUUGCUUACAUUCGUAACUUAUGUAUGUGUAAUUUUCUCGAUCGAAUUACUCUAACUAAACUAAAAGACUUUUGCUUUGAAUUUUUUAUUAGAGACCCUUCGUUUGGAUAUAUAUGUUUUGUGUCGGUUCUAUUCAGAGUCUCGUAGCGUUGCUUCAAAUCUCGCAAUAUUUUUUCUAUUUUAUCGAUUUUUUCGAAGAGUCAAGUUGAUUAUAGCAAGUUGUUAUUGUUUUAGGUGGAUUUAGCAAAAAUAAAGCAAGGUUUCAUCCAUUGCAGUGGAAACGAACAUCCAGCAGCCAAAUUAGAAAUCGUUGAAACUUAGAAUAAAAAAGAGGGUGGAUUUAGCAAGAAAUAAGCAAGGUUUCAUCCAUUGCAGUGGAAACGAACAUCCAGCAGCCAAAUUCAAAAUCGUUGAAACUUAGAAUAAAAAAAGGGUGGAUUUAGCAAGAAAUAAGCAAGGUUUCAUCCAUUGCAGUGGAAACGAACAUCCAGCAGCCAAAUUCGAAAUCGUUGAAACUUAACUUAACUAAUCGUUGAAUAAAAAAGAGGGUAAGUGAUUUUGUUUUUUUAUAAGCCAUACAAUAUAAUAUUGAAAUGAUUAAGGAAAUAGUUAAGCAGUCGGAUAAUCUAUUAUUAACUAUUAAAAGACUUCGUAAAAUAAUUUUUGAUAAAUUUACUCAAAAUGAUGCUAAAGUAUGGUUAAAGCGAUUAAAUGCACAUAUUUGCAAAUGUAAUAAUUUAAUUAAAGCUAAAAAAUUACCCAUUGGAACUGCUAAAAAAUUACAAUCAAACGUAGGACAUUUUAAACAUUUUCGAAGAAUAAUUUUAAAUUUUAAUAGACGUGUUGGUCUAGGACUUAAUUCAAAAUUACGAAAUAGAGUAAAAUGGGAAAAUGUCGCUUCAAGUUUUGCAAGUCGGAUUAAGACAGGGGUUAUAAUAAAUUUAUAUCAUAAGGAUGUAGGACCGUUUUUGAAUGAUGCUUUUACCAUAUUUAAACAAAAAGUUAAAACUGUUUUGAAAUCUAAUAGAGUACUUAAAGUCAACACUACUUUGUGGGGGGAAUUUAUU
rnacentral:lncRNA from 1 species